CAACGCCGCGUGGAGGAUGAAUCCCUUGGGAUGUAAACUUCCUUUCGGAUAGGAAGAUAAUGACCGGUACCUAUAGAAGAACGCCCCGGACUAACUUCGUGC
rnacentral:rRNA from 1 species